rnacentral:rRNA from 1 species
AGUGAACGCUGGCGGCAGGCCUAACACAUGCAAGUCGAACGGCAGCACAGCAGUAGCAAUACUGUGGGUGGCGAGUGGCGGACGGGUGAGGAAUACAUCGGAAUCUGCCCAGUCGUGGGGGAUAACAUAGGGAAACUUAUGCUAAUACCGCAUACGACCUACGGGUGAAAGCGGGGGAUCGCAAGACCUCGCGCGAUUGGAUGAGCCGAUGUCCGAUUAGCUAGUUGGCGGGGUAAUGGCCCACCAAGGCGACGAUCGGUAGCUGGUCUGAGAGGAUGAUCAGCCACACUGGAACUGAGACACGGUCCAGACUCCUACGGGAGGCAGCAGUGGGGAAUAUUGGACAAUGGGCGCAAGCCUGAUCCAGCCAUGCCGCGUGGGUGAAGAAGGCCUUCGGGUUGUAAAGCCCUUUUGUCCGGAAAGAAAAGCUCGGGGUUAAUACCUUCGGGUUCUGACGGUACCGGAAGAAUAAGCACCGGCUAACUUCGUGCCAGCCGCCGCGGUAAAAC